AAAAGCGUUCGGCUAUUUUGGAGAUCGGAACUACGGCUGGUUGUUGACUGAUCGGGCGACUAUACUGGAAAAUUAACGAAGGUCUCGAAUGCCAAGCAGUUGCAAGCACAAUCAAAGUGUACAAGGAUACGUGAGUGAGUAUGAGAAAAGUAGACUCUUGAUGGUUCAAUAAAAUGAAAAAAGAACAUAAGACUUGGGAGUGAAAAACAUUGCAAAUUCUUUCACAAGUUUUGUACAGAGUCAUAUAAUGAAGAAAAAAUGUAGUGAACGCAUCGCACGCUAAUGUAUAAGAUGCAGACUAUAUUCCCGAGACAGGUGAUGAUGGUGAGGGGGAAUACCAAGAUGCUGCUACAAGUGUUGAAGUAUCCAAAAAGGCAACGCCAAGUGAUUGCUCCAAAAGUCUCCCGAUAGUUUUCACUUGAUUCAUAUGCAACACAAGUGAAUCAAUCAAGAACAAAAAUUACCAUUGGUGAACUUCUAUCAAGUAAUAAAGGGCCACAAAGGCAAAAGGAGGUAUUAAAAAAAAUAAGGCAAAACCGAACUGUAUCAAAAGCGGAGCAAAGAGACAAUUGACCCUUGUUGAUGACGAUGAUGAGAAAUUUAAGAUGUUAAUGGAGUAGAUAUUGGAACUAGAUGGUUUCAAAGAUGAUGAGAAUGAAGCAGCUAUUAUGAGCUCUCAAGCAAUAACAAGAUGAUGUUGAUCAAGAUGAUAAAUACGAAGACAUGUACCAUAUGCCAUUUGCAAAUUAUGAAAAUGAGAUACAAGGGGACGAUAGCAAGGAUGAUUUGGGAAACGAGGAUGAAGAACUAGUUCAAGAACAAUUGCUUGAAAUGAGAAAAGAAAUGGAAGAGGUUCAUCAAAGGAAAAAAAAAGCCGAGCAAGAAGCUAUACACAAAGAUUUUGACAGCUAGCAAGCAAACUUUGAAGCUACGACGUGAAGUAUUAUGAAAAAACUACCUAUUGGAGUGAUUCAUGAUCUUGAAGAUGAGUAGGAGGUUUUCUUUAUGUAUUAUCAUUGUGAUUGAAAACUUUGUUUUGAUUACAUUAUUAUUCGA